UACGGGGGAGCAAGCGUUGUUCGGAAUUACUGGGCGUAAAGCGAGUGUAGGCGGUUUGGUAAGUCGGAUGUGAAAGCCCCGGGCUCAACCCGGGAAGUGCACUCGAUACUGCCAAGCUAGAGUAUCGGAGAGGUUGGGUGGAAUUCUCGGUGUAGAGGUGAAAUUCGUAGAUAUCGAGAGGAACACCGGUGGCGAAGGCGGCCAACUGGACGAAUACUGACGCUGAGACUCGAAAGCGUGGGGAGCAAACAGG
rnacentral:rRNA from 1 species